GACGAACGCUGGCGGCGUGCUUAACACAUGCAAGUCGAACGAAGUGGCGAACGGGUGAGUAACGCGUAAUCAACCUGCCCUUCAGAGGGGGACAACAUUUGGAAACGACUUCUAAUCCCGCAUACUGAAGGAGGGGAUCGCGUCUGAUUAGCUAGUUGGGGGGGUAACGGCCCACCAAGGCGAUGAUCAGUAGCCGGUCUGAGAGGAUGAUCGGCCACAUCGGGACUGAGACACGGCCCAGACUCCUACGGGAGGCAGCAGUGGGGAAUCUUCCGCAAUGGACGAAAGUCUGAAGGAGCAACGCCGCGUGAGUGAUGACGGCCUUCGGGUUGUAAAGCUCUGUUAAUCGGGACGCGGUACCGGAAUAGAAAGCCACGGCUAACUACGUGCCAGCAGCCGCGGUAAUAC
rnacentral:rRNA from 1 species